GUGUGUGUGGGUUUGUGUGUGUGUGUGUGUGUGUGUGUGUUUGUGUGCGUGUCUUUGUGUAGGACAGAAAGCUGGUAUAUGUAGCAUCUCUACGUCAAAGUUACUCUGCCCCAAAUGGCAUGGAUUGGCAAGCGGAGGUGUGCCCAGGCGUGACCGUUCCCAAUUGAAAUUGGAACUGUUCUUCCCUGCUGAACCAGGAAAUGAAUAAAAAUUUAACAAAAAACUUGAAUUCUACGAUCAAUAUUUUUAGAUGGAAUUUUGUAGUCUGUCUUGUCUUUAGUGAUGCAUCGUGCCUAUGGUGAAAGGCAAUGUACUCCAGCAUAUCAUGAUUUCAUUUAACUAAAAGCCCCUGGACAACAUCAGGUGCUAAGAGACCCAACAGACAAAUAUCCUGCACUGUAGAACCCAUAAUGCUAACUGUUGAUGUUUCAAUCGCUAUGUUAUGAUUAUUAUAUUGAUAGUUUAAUUUGGAUGGAAUUGGGUGGGAUUUAGAGACUGGGUUAAAUAAAAUUGUAAAAUUAUCAGACAAAGCCACAUUGAACGUUACCCCCCCAACUCCUUGGUUUUCUGGAAUUCCUGGUUAGAGUAUUCCGGACCUUUGAGUAAGAGCCGAGCGGGAGUGCGUGGGCAGUUGGGGCGGGUGCCCCGAUUUUUAGUUGUUCUUUUAUUGGCUAUUUAGAUGGAAUGCCACGAGUCCCGUGUGCGGCUCGAAGCCAGCUGUUUACUGCAUGUAUGAAAACUGUCUUAGCAAUUAGAAGAGAGUCAAGAUGCCUGGUAGGUGAAAAAGAAAUGAACUAUCUGAAUGCUCCUCCUUGCUUAACUUUAUUUAAUGAAGAUUUUAAAAAGAAAAUUGUCUUUUUGUGUUUGUUGUGUGAAAGAACACUGCACCCCACCACUUCUUUCUUGUCCUGUCACCCUCCACAACAAAACUUUUAACAAUGCAAAUCAGUGAUAUGAACACUCACCUCACACAAACCAGCCUCUCUAACUAUCAAGUUUGUUCACAUCAAUGGCUUUGUUGGUUUUGACUUUUGUGAUGUAGAUGGAGAUUUCUUGACAUAAAUGUGAAAAUGUGAAGUAAAAAUGUUUUUUGUGAGGGGUUGACAAUUGUAUCAGUCCUUAAUGGAAAUUGACAGAUAUUGUAUAGCUAGAACCUGUGUUAUUGAAUCUCUGAACUAAAGUAACCAAAUGUAAUUUAUACUGUUAUUAUAUGCAUUACAUGCAGUUAACACUUCUGUGGGAUGAAAGAGAUUAAAGUCCGUCUUAUAUAGCAGUAGUAGAAAGAUUGAUACAUUGCAAUGCAUUUAGCUGCUAAUAACACUUCAAACAAAGUGACUCCACGUUGGCCAGACACAGUACGCAGUUCUUUUCAAUGUGUAGUAGGGAGUUACUGCUUAGUAAUGGUCACUCCGUACUUGUUUAUUUGUGUUUUGAAGGUCCUUCAUUUAAACUAGAAAUAAGAAGUCCAAGAAUCAAUCCCUGUGGUACUCCACAUUGGCCAAAUGUUGUUGCUGUGUCAACAUGUGUUCCUUACCAUCCUCACCACUGACUAAUGUAAAAAUUUGACAGGCCUGUUGUACUGAGAUUUGCUACUAGAUUAACCAUAUUUAAUCUCUUGGUAAACCAUCAGUAGGUGCUAUAACCAGCUGCCCAGCUCUUCUCAAUUUCAAACAUCUUUAGACUCCCCUUGGCCAACUUUUUAACAUGGCUUUCAGGGUUAUGUUUUGGAUGGAAUUGCAACACUUUCAAGAUAACACUAGAAGGUAAAAUUAACAUUUGUGGAAACAGUAGAAUAUUUGAGAAGUCUCUCUGUACAAUGACAUUUUUCUUGUUUUCUAUAUAAACCUACUCUGACUAUACAGCCUACUCAACACAUUGUUUGGAUGGUAAAUUCAUUCACAUUGUCAUCUGGUACUUAUUGUAUGAAUAAUUGGUGCUAGUUGCCUUCAUCAAGUCUUCAAAGAGACAUUUAAAAGAAUCCAUGAACUGUAUAGGCUACACAACUGAAAAUUAGUUGUCUUGUACUUUCAUAAAUAUUUUUUUGGGGGAGAGGUGUUUAAUUACUCUUACUGACAGGGCCGUAGGAAGCAGAAGCUAGAGGGCCUGGGAUGUAGAGGGGAG
ensembl:lncRNA